ACGGGUAUAAAUAGAAGGAUAUAUAUGUCUGUUAGAAAUGCAUUGACUUCUGGAAGGCAGGUAUAAAUAGAAGGAUAUAUCUGUUAGAAAUGCAUUGACUUCUGGAAGGCAGGUAUAAAUAGAAGGAUAUAUCUGUUAGAAAUGCAUUGACUUAAGAAAGGCGGGUAUAAAUAGAAGGAUAUAUAUGUCUGUUAGAAAUGCAUUGACUUAAGAAAGGCGGGUAUAAAUAGAAGGAUAUAUAUGUCUGUUAGAAAUGCAUUGACUUCUGGAAGGCAGGUAUAAAUAGAAGGAUAUAUCUGUUAGAAAUGCAUUGACUUAAGAAAGGCGGGUAUAAUUAGAAGGAUAUAUGUCUGUUAGAAAUGCUUUGACUCUGCAAGAUGAGUGUAAGCAAAAGGAUACAUCUUUCCAAAAAAUUAUUGACAUCGGGAAGGCAGGUGGAAAUAAAAGGAUGUAUAUUUUAGAAAUGCUUUGACUUCUGAAAGACAGGUAUAAAUAAAAGGAAAUAUCUGCUAGAAAUUCAUUGACUUUAGAAAGGCAGGUAAAAAAAAAAGGAUAUAUCAGAAAUUCAUUGACACUGGGAAGGCAGGUGGAAAUUAAAGCAUAGGAAACUCAGUUUCUACUGCACGGAUGAUUGAUUUAAUGAUGAGAAAUUGAGUGACUAAGUUUUUUACUACAGACUGAAACAUAUUUAUUUUCUUCUGCAUAAUAUUCACUCACCUAUGGAAGCAUAUUAAUGAAGGAUUGUUGUUAAGAUUGUGGCACAAAUACGUUCAUUUCAAUACCCACCUUUUUGUGGUUCUUUCAAAUUUUGGGAGGGGAAGUGGAUUCCUUUAAUUCAAAUGAAUCCUUUGCUGAGGUCAUCUGGGGAACAAAUAUGUCUGUGUGAUUUCUGAGAUGAAAGAUAAUGUUAUGUUAUGUGGCUAAACUUCUUUUUUGUUCAAAUAUCUGAAUAGUGAGAAGCAAAAUCUGUGAAGUUAUUGAUCAGGUUGCCAUUGUACAAGCAACCUACAUGCUACAACAAUCGUAAGUCUCUGUCAGGUAUGGGAGUUGUGAUUAACUUAGCGCUAAGAUCGCUUUUACAACAGCACCCAGAUCUUCUGACAGAUCUUCUGACCGAUCUUCUGGCAGAUGGCCAUCUGUUGACCAAAUCAGGGUCAGCAUUAAUAAUAGAUGACAUUUGACAGUAUCAGGUUAUUCAUCUGGAAAUAAGUGGAACAAGUUGUGUAAUAGUGUAUUAAAAUGAUGCAGGUGGUGUUUCCUUCCUGGAGUUAGAGGUAUGGGUGAGUCAUUACAGUAUCAGAAGUCAUACCUGCAAUAAAGAUGCUCACAGUGUUUAAGUUGUCAGAAUGUUGUAAGUGUGUGUUCAGUUUCGGUAGUGAUAGAUGUAGCCAGAUUUCUUGAUUAAACAGGGACAGCAAAUACCUACUGCAUAUUAGUUGUAGAUUGUUGGUGGUCGUAGUGUUAACUUUUGUACCUAUGUCUUUCACAAAAAGCAAUAAAAACGAUGGCCCUUU